AGAUACGAACCUAGUAAAGUAAACUAGCAAGGAUGUUUAAACCACUGGAAAAACUAGAUUCGCUCAAGGGCAAGAAAGACGAAAGUAAGUAGGAUAUUGACAGGUGCAGAACCAUUGCAAAAAUUUCAAUCUUCCGAGUUAGAAGAGCCGGUGAUGAAAACACUAGGGAGGAUCGUGGUUGAUGGACUGGCUGAUGUCCAACUAUUGGAGUAGAGAGUCCGUCAGUAAGCGAGAUGCCAUCAACUUCACGUUCUCGAAGGCAGACUCUACAGGAUAUGUUUGCUGAUAUGAUGGCUACGAUGAAGAGGAGGAGCGAAGAAAAGACAAAAUUUAGAGAGACAUCGCAACAAUGCUUCCAAAAUGUUGCGGAGUCUUUGAAUAAUAUGGCAAGUGCUAUUUUAAAGCUAUCGGAAGCUGUUUUAAAAAAAAAAAUCAAAUAUGUUUAAGUUAAGAAGAUAUUUUUUAGUUGUUCCUAUUAAUGUUUAUAAUGUACAUACACACAGAAGAAUAUGUUUAAGUUAAAUUAUUUUUAUGUUCCU
rnacentral:lncRNA from 1 species